GUUUGAUCCUGGCUCAGGAUGAACGCUAGCUACAGGCUUAACACAUGCAAGUCGAGGGGCAGCGGGAUUGAAGCUUGCUUCAAUUGCCGGCGACCGGCGCACGGGUGAGUAACGCGUAUCCAACCUUCCGUACACUCAGGGAUAGCCUUUCGAAAGAAAGAUUAAUACCUGAUGGUAUGAUGAGAUUGCAUGAUAGCAUCAUUAAAGAUUUAUCGGUGUACGAUGGGGAUGCGUUCCAUUAGGUAGUAGGCGGGGUAACGGCCCACCUAGCCUACGAUGGAUAGGGGUUCUGAGAGGAAGGUCCCCCACAUUGGAACUGAGACACGGUCCAAACUCCUACGGGAGGCAGCAGUGAGGAAUAUUGGUCAAUGGACGAGAGUCUGAACCAGCCAAGUAGCGUGAAGGAUGAAGGUCCUACGGAUUGUAAACUUCUUUUAUAAGGGAAUAAAACCUCCCACGUGUGGGAGCUUGUAUGUACCUUAUGAAUAAGCAUCGGCUAACUCCGUGCCAGCAGCCGCGGUAAUACGGAGGAUGCGAGCGUUAUCCGGAUUUAUUGGGUUUAAAGGGAGCGCAGACGGGUCGUUAAGUCAGCUGUGAAAGUUUGGGGCUCAACCUUAAAAUUGCAGUUGAUACUGGCGUCCUUGAGUGCGGUUGAGGUGUGCGGAAUUCGUGGUGUAGCGGUGAAAUGCUUAGAUAUCACGAAGAACUCCGAUUGCGAAGGCAGCACACUAAGCCGUAACUGACGUUCAUGCUCGAAAGUGUGGGUAUCAAACAGGAUUAGAUACCCUGGUAGUCCACACGGUAAACGAUGGAUACUCGCUGUUGGCGAUAUACAGUCAGCGGCUUAGCGAAAGCGUUAAGUAUCCCACCUGGGGAGUACGCCGGCAACGGUGAAACUCAAAGGAAUUGACGG
rnacentral:rRNA from 2 species